rnacentral:lncRNA from 1 species
CUCUGAAAAAAAAAAAAGUUUAUUGCAUUUGGAAGUCAAUAGAUAUCUUUUACAAAAAAGGUUAGAAUAAAGAUCUCACAUUUGUAAAGGCACAUAUGAAACAUUUAACAGCAAUGACAAGGGCAGUGAGAACAUAAAACAAUACACAACCAGAACCAAUAUCUAAAGACUUUAUAAAAACAGGUAAGAAACAGUGCAAAAAUACUGUCAAAAGUCAGUUUCAUACACUUCAUAACUGCGUAUAAAACUGGCAAGCAUAAGCUUAUUUACUGAUAUAAAAAAAGCACAUAGAAGAGCAUGCAUAGAUUUAUUUAAGGCUUUUAAUAUCAUCGAGAGAGAGUCUAUAAAAGUGAAGUUGACAUGUGAAUAUUAAUCACUCCCCAACUCAGGGAA